GGUAAGGAUGAAAAGGCGAGGUAAGAGCUCACCGGCGGUACGGUAACGUAUCGGCCUUGUAAACCCCACCCGGAGCAACGCCAUGGAAAGACAUUACUGCGGUCCGCAGGUCUUGAGGAGGCGGCUUGAGCCGGAACGAAAUUUCCGGUCUAGAUAGAUGAUCAUCUUCUACAGAACCCGGCUUAUAGGUUCAACUCGGAA
rnacentral:RNase_P_RNA from 1 species